UUAUAAGUCAUUUCACUUUUGUUUAGUUAAAUAUUUUAAAGUUUGACCAAGUUUCUAACAAAAUAUAGUAACAUUUUCAAUACAUGAUAAAUUUUGUAUUAAGAUAUAUUCGAUGUUAAAUUUAAUGAGACUAAUAUGGUGUUGUAGGUAUUGCUAAUUUUUUUCCAUAAACUUGAUCAAACCUAUUGCACUUUGACUUUGACUGAUAAAGAAGUCAAAAGACUUAUAAUUAUCGGGAUUCCGUUCUGAAUCCGGGGCAGCAACAAUUGCAAUUCUUAUCGGCAUCGGUAGGGUGUAUUGUGUAACAACCUAGACCUAGGCCGAUACGCGCGUUUUGCAUGCAGCCGCAGUCCAGCGCCGUCAUUGCUGCCGCCAUGGACGACGGCGGUGGCCACCGCCGCCGCCGCGUCAUCGAGCCAAGAGACUGUCGGAGCCGCACGCUUGCUUCGACGACGCAGGACAAGCACCGGUCGCUGCUCCUUGACAAGGUCCGUGCCUCCCACGAGGAGGCGCUGGAGCGGCUGCGGCCGGCGGCCGUGGCGGCGGACCUCGACGCCGGCCUCUGCUUCGGCUUGCUGGAUCCCGUCUCCAAUGUCAUCGUCAACGCCGUCCUCACCGCCGCCCCGAGAAACCGGAAGAUGAGAAGGGCGCGGCGGAGGACGCGCAGACGCAGGAGAUCGAGACGCCGGCGAUCUCUCGACGGAUCGGUGACCUUCCUGACCAGCUUCUUCCCUUACCUCCCCGAAUGGGAGGCCGUGUACUACCUGCUCCUCGCCGACGCCGACGUGCUCGUCGCGGCGCGCCUCGUCGUGCAGGCCCGUGGCCUGAGAAGAUUCGGGUUCACCUCGGGCACCACCGCCGCCGCCGUCAGGUUGGCCCUCAGAUGCGCCGCGCUGGCCGUGAAGCAUCCGCAUCCCGACCGGCUCGUCCACGCGUGGAUGUCCCUGUCUCGCCGCCUCGACGAGGCCGUGUCCGCGCUCGCCAACCGCGACGUGCGCGGCCUCGUCGCGCUGGUCGGCGACGAGGCGCCCGCGCCGGCGGCCGACAUGGAGAGAGCGUGGGAGCUGGCAGAGUCUCGCUUGCGCGGCCGGGGCAUCGCCGCGCGGCAUUACUGGCACGCCAUGCCUCUCCAGAUGGCGCUCCUCCACGCGAUCCAGGGGUUCUACCUCCGGGCGCUCGCCCGGCUGCCCUCCGGCGAGCUGCGGUCUCGCUACCACCGGAGCUUGGUGCUGGCCGGCCAUUGCUACGGCCCCAUGGACCCCGUCUCCAACAUCAUCCUCAACGUCGUCUGGUACGACGCCGCGCACCCGCCGGCGGAGGAGCUCGAGCUGGCCAUGAUCCCGCCCAUGAGCAUGUUCCGCGUCGCCACGCGUUCGUUCCUCGGCCUCGUCUCCUUCCUCUGCACCCGCUACCCCGACCUCCCGCUCCAUGACGCCAUUUGGUGUUUGCUUGCCGCGGACGGCGACCUUGGCGCCGCCGCAAGAGAAGCCGAGCGGCGGCAGCACCGUCCCUCCUGCACUGUCCAGGAGGCCUACGCCGCCGCCGCUGCCGCGGCCCGGCACCCCAAACCGGACGAACAAGUGGAGCUCCUCAGCUCGAGCAGGGCCAUCACGACGACGACGACGACGUCGCUGCUCCUGCAGAACGGCGGCCAGCUCUCCUCGGAAGACGUUCGCCGCCUCGCCGCCGGCUUACUGUCCCCGAAUCCCUCCGCCGCCGUCUCACCAACGCAGCGCAAACCAACGAAACCACGGCAGCGCGGGAAGCUGAAACUGCAGUCGCAGUUCAUCCGUGAUCAGAACAAAAUCUGCAAGAAGGGGAAGGCUGCAUUGCACAGAUACUCGCUGCAAAACAACGAACCCGGUGGAUACGAGCUCCAUGUCAUCUGUGGCAUGAACAAUCUCGUAUCAGGACCCGUGUAUUGCACUGACGAUGACAUCGUCAGUUAUACACCUCUCAUAUACUUUCGUUGUCAUGUCAACUUCUUGGCUCGCCGGAGACACUCUGAUCCAUCUGCCAUUGCCGGCGAUGGAGCUCUUCAACUCUUCUUUGCAGAAUGCGGUAACUAUCGCCUCAACCAUGACGGCAUUUGCUGCCCUGUAACCAUAUCGCUACCAUGCUCAGAACAAGUGCGUUGCCUUUACUGCGAGCAUCAAGGGAUUAGGAUUGUGCAUCCAUCGGUGGAGAAUUUCCAUGGGCGUGAGGUGGAAUUUGAGAAGAUGGUAUGUGGAAAAGAUCCCUGUGAAGACGAUUUUGAUCUUUUAGUUGAUGAAGAACCGUUUUACACCAACGAUGGUAUCGUCAACAACCUCGAGUAUGCAGGUGCUAUGGAUGGUUCGAAGAGGACUUCAUUUAUCGAGAUAGCGAUGAAGGCACCGACGAGGAAGAAGGAAACUCUGAUGAUGAUAUCGAUUUUGUGUGAGGUUUACAUGACUGUAUAUUUUGAUUGAUGGAGCUGUGUACAUGUUCAAUGUUCAUGUUCAGCCCUUAUACCGGCAUGUUUAGGGAGAGUUUAGUUCCACUGGGCCAAAGUUUUCCGAACCGUAGGCGAACUACUCCUACCUAUUUUUUGGAAUUUUGUUUUAUUUUCUUGAUUGACUAUUUGACGUAGGAUAUUCCAGUUCAAGAAGGGUCUAAGCAAGAGAUGGCAAUGGUUCCCCGUCCUCCGAUUCCCUGCGGUGAAUCCUCCCAUUAGAAGGUGGGGGUGGUAUAAAAUAUGUCUCCACAGAGGAUUAAAUAGAGUAAAAACACCUUCCAUCGGGUCUGGCAGGGGCAGGUUUGUUUCAGCGUCCCUCGUCCCCGCUCUCCGUGGAGGCCCGACAUAAUAGUGUAUGUGUAGUAUUAUCAUGUAUAUUUGGCCCAUCUGGCCCAUAGAAACCAGGCCCAACACCUAGAGCAUAUAAAGCAUCUGCAAAACCCUAGCCAUUCCAAUCCUUUCUCCCUUCUGUGUUCCAUCCCUAGUCCCCACGCCGGCGCCGACUCCCGAUCUCGCAAGGCCACCGUGCGUCUGCCGCGUCGGCACCCGUGCAGGGUUGCCGACUCGCCACGCCCUCGCCCGCGCAGGGCCGCCGGCUCGCCGCGCCCGCGCUGUCACGUCCCGGCGCGCCCGCACCGUCAGGUCCCGUUGCGCACGCGCAGGGCCGUUGGCUCGCCGUGCCGCCACGUCCCGGUGCCGCCCCACCAGGUCAAAGGGGAAAACGACGACCAAUCGCUAGAUGCGGCCAUGGCUUCGUCUUCACCACUCGCGGGGAUGGAGGCUCCACGGAGAUAAAUUACCUGCACGGAGGUGGUGAUGGUGAAAGAUCUUGCCCCGUUUGCAUUUCACGGUGAUGGUGAUGGAGAAAAUUCUUCUCCGUGGAGGCAGGUCUGGUGGUGUAACCUCCGACUAGGAAUUCCCCGUUGCCAUCUCCUCCGUGGAGGCGGGUCUGGUGGUGUAAAUCUCCAGCCAGGAAUUCCCGUUGCUAUCUCUAGUCUGAACAUAUUAAGAAAUAGAACAGACUCCCUCGGUCCCAUAAACCACGAAUCUAGAAUUAGAUACGAAUCUAGAAUUAGAUAUGACAUAUUAUAGUACAGUCUGUUUAGAUUCGUAGUAUUAGGAUGUGUCUCGCAUCAGUUCUAUCUUGUUUUUUUUUAUGUGACAGGGAGUAUGAACUGUAAGAGAAUCAAUCCUUUUCGUGUCAAAACCUGUAAGCCAGU